UACAGAGGUCUCAAGCGUUGUUCGGAAUCACUGGGCGUAAAGGGUGCGUAGGUGGCGUGGCAAGUCAGAUGUGAAAGCCCGGGGCUCAACCCCGGAACUGCAUCCGAUACUGCCAUGCUGGAGUACUGAAGGGGUGACUAGAAUUCUCGGUGUAGCAGUGAAAUGCGUAGAUAUCGAGAGGAAGACCAAAGGCGAAGGCAGGUCACUGGGCAGUUACUGACACUGAGGCACGAAGGCCAGGGGAGCAAACGGG
rnacentral:rRNA from 1 species